rnacentral:lncRNA from 1 species
UAACAUAACCUUUGGUGAAUCUGAGGAGACCAUGGAGUAUCCACCGUCUCCACCAACCUCAGUAUGUUCUGAUAGAACCUUGAUGGGUCCAUUCAGUGAACUACAGGAGGCCAUGGACUGUCGUACGUUACUAGAAGCUAAACUUUCUCUGUCCUCUGCUGGUUUGUCUGUCGUUGAUCUGUCUGUGUCUCUGUCUCUGUCUCCCUCCUCGUCCUCCAGACCGUCUCCAUCAGCCUCAGUGUGUUCUGGAUACAGCAGUAUAUCCCUGAGAAGUGACAGCUCCAAAGGUCUAGAGAUUAUUUUUAAAGAACAGAUGAGACCCUCAGACCCAACCUCAGUAUGUUCUGAUAGAACCUUGAUGGAUCCAUUCAGUGAAACAGAGGAGACCAUGGAUUAUCCAGUGUCUCCACUGAUCUGA